GGUAAUACGGAGGGUGCAAGCGUUAAUCGGAAUUACUGGGCGUAAAGCGCACGCAGGCGGUUUGUUAAGUCAGAUGUGAAAUCCCCGGGCUCAACCUGGGAACUGCAUCUGAUACUGGCAAGCUUGAGUCUCGUAGAGGGGGGUAGAAUUCCAGGUGUAGCGGUGAAAUGCGUAGAGAUCUGGAGGAAUACCGGUGGCGAAGGCGGCCCCCUGGACGAAGACUGACGCUCAGGUGCGAAAGCGUGGGGAGCAAACAGGAUUAGAUACCCUGGUAGUCCACGCCGUAAACGAUGUCGACUUGGAGGUUGUGCCCUUGAGGCGUGGCUUCCGGAGCUAACGCGUUAAGUCGACCGCCUGGGGAGUACGGCCGCAAGGUUAAAACUCAAAUGAAUUGACGGGGGCCCGCACAAGCGGUGGAGCAUGUGGUUUAAUUCGAUGCAACGCGAAGAACCUUACCUGGUCUUGACAUCCACAGAACUUUCCAGAGAUGAGAUUGUGCCUUCGGGAACUGUGAGACAGGUGCUGCAUGGCUGUCGUCAGCUCGUGUUGUGAAAUGUUGGGUUAAGUCCCGCAACGAGCGCAACCCUUAUCC
rnacentral:rRNA from 1 species